UACAAGUUUUGAUACAGUAUGUACAAAUAAGUCCAAGCAGAUAGAACAGAAAAUGAAACAACUUUUUAAGACGCUCCAGGGGUAAACUCGUGAAAUCCUUCUCCUGCAUUUAGAAUCAAGAAUCCCAAUAGUCAAAACCGUCGGAGUGUAAGAGGAUGCCUGGUGUUCCCGGAAUGUUGAUUCAUCAUGGCAGUCCUUCAAUCGCAUGACUUACCCCUUCAAGAAACCAUCACUCUCUGAUCACAACUUGAACCAGACGAUUACAUCUGUUAGGUUUCCCCUCUCUGUUCUGAUGAAGAUGGUGGUGCCAGGAAGAGGAUUGCGGCUAUAUUACGAGUAUCAUCUCUUUCAUAAAACCUCAUCAGAACCCUAUUUUUCCUUUUCAUGAGGUUUAUACUCUGGUAAAGUAUUCACCACCUGAUUUACUUCAUUGUUAUGUUCUUCUGAAUGAUUCGAAUUCAAGAUACAUGUUAAUUUUUGUUUUAAUUAAGACUUGCGAGUGUAACCUAAUUUGAACGAUUUGUAAAUGUCUCGUAUAAAUGUCGCUUGAAGUUUUUGUUGAUAUUACAAUCGCCCGAUGACUCUAUUUUGGUGUUCUGAGAAGAUUUUUGUUCAUAUUGGUUAAUGUAAGUCUCCGGUGAACUAAUUGGCGUGUGGAUGGGUGGAUUAAAGGCUGGGAUAAUAUACGUCGAUGAACAACGAAUCUAAUUCGUUCAUGCCACUCACAACAUCUCUGCACAGAAGUAGCAAUAAUACUCGUCUGAAUAAGACCAAGCUACCCUGAAGUACAAAAAGGUUGAGCCGCUCCUGCCACUACCAUCAUAAAAUAACACCCUCAAAACACCGAAAUGACAUCGUUGUGGCUGGAACUCCUGUCAAGCAGAAUCGCAACAACUAUUGAUCAUGUCGGUGAAGACCUUCUUCAAAACAUAUUUGGCAGACUU